UACGUAGGGUGCGAGCGUUAAUCGGAAUUACUGGGCGUAAAGGGUGCGCAGGCGGAUAUGUAAGUUAGAUGUGAAAUCCCCGAGCUUAACUUGGGAACGGCAUUUAAGACUGCAUGUCUAGAGUUUGUCAGAGGGGGGUAGAAUUCCAAGUGUAGCAGUGAAAUGCGUAGAGAUUUGGAGGAAUACCAGUGGCGAAGGCGACCCCCUGGGAUAAAACUGACGCUCAGGCACGAAAGCGUGGGUAGCAAACAGG
rnacentral:rRNA from 1 species